rnacentral:rRNA from 1 species
ACAGGCUUAACACAUGCAAGUCGAGGGGCAGCAUUUCAGUUUGCUUGCAAACUGGAGAUGGCGACCGGCGCACGGGUGAGUAACACGUAUCCAACCUGCCGAUAACUCGGGGAUAGCCUUUCGAAAGAAAGAUUAAUACCCGAUGGUAUAAUCAGACCGCAUGGUCUUGUUAUUAAAGAAUUUCGGUUAUCGAUGGGGAUGCGUUCCAUUAGGCAGUUGGUGAGGUAACGGCUCACCAAACCUUCGAUGGAUAGGGGUUCUGAGAGGAAGGUCCCCCACAUUGGAACUGAGACACGGUCCAAACUCCUACGGGAGGCAGCAGUGAGGAAUAUUGGUCAAUGGGCGCAGGCCUGAACCAGCCAAGUAGCGUGAAGGAUGACUGCCCUAUGGGUUGUAAACUUCUUUUAUAUGGGAAUAAAGUUUUCCACGUGUGGAAUUUUGUAUGUACCAUAUGAAUAAGGAUCGGCUAACUCCGUGCCAGCAGCCGCGGUAAUACGGAGGAUCCGAGCGUUAUCCGGAUUUAUUGGGUUUAAAGGGAGCGUAGGUGGACAGUUAAGUCAGUUGUGAAAGUUUGCGGCUCAACCGUAAAAUUGCAGUUGAUACUGGCUGUCUUGAGUACAGUAGAGGUGGGCGGAAUUCGUGGUGUAGCGGUGAAAUGCUUAGAUAUCACGAAGAACUCCGAUUGCGAAGGCAGCUCACUGGACUGCAACUGACACUGAUGCUCGAAAGUGUGGGUAUCAAACAGGAUUAGAUACCCUGGUAGUCCACACAGUAAACGAUGAAUACUCGCUGUUUGCGAUAUACAGUAAGCGGCCAAGCGAAAGCAUUAAGUAUUCCACCUGGGGAGUACGCCGGCAACGGUGAAACUCAAAGGAAUUGACGGGGGCCCGCACAAGCGGAGGAACAUGUGGUUUAAUUCGAUGAUACGCGAGGAACCUUACCCGGGCUUAAAUUGCAUUUGAAUAUAUUGGAAACAGUAUAGCCGUAAGGCAAAUGUGAAGGUGCUGCAUGGUUGUCGUCAGCUCGUGCCGUGAGGUGUCGGCUUAAGUGCCAUAACGAGCGCAACCCUUAUCUUUAGUUACUAACAGGUCAUGCUGAGGACUCUAGAGAGACUGCCGUCGUAAGAUGUGAGGAAGGUGGGGAUGACGUCAAAUCAGCACGGCCCUUACGUCCGGGGCUACACACGUGUUACAAUGGGGGGUACAGAAGGCAGCUACCUGGUGACAGGAUGCUAAUCCCAAAAGCCUCUCUCAGUUCGGAUCGAAGUCUGCAACCCGACUUCGUGAAGCUGGAUUCGCUAGUAAUCGCGCAUCAGCCAUGGCGCGGUGAAUACGUUCCCGGGCCUUGUACACACCGCCCGUCAAGCCAUGAAAGCCGGGGGUACCUGAAGUACGUAACCGCAAGGAGCGUCCUAGGGUAAAACUGGUAAUUGGGGCUAAGA